UCUCAGGUCACUGAAAGUGAAAUGAAGGGAACUCAGAUAUUUAAAGAAUAUGUUAUGUAAACCAGGGACUUUCUGUAGCUUACCUCAUGUAAUUGUCAUCAUAAUCACAUGAAGUAGAUUUCGUUAUCCUCCAUUUGUACAUAAAGAACUGCAGAGAAAUUAAAUAUAGACAUUACCAGUUGAAUGACUCAACAGACGUUAAUGUUUUCUCUUGCUGCCCUUCAUCAUGGAAUAUGGAAAAGCCACACACCACCCUGUGUGGAAGUCAUGUUGGAGUGAAGGAAGAAAAGCCUGAAGAUGCCCAGUGGUCUGAGCGUGGCUCUCGAUUCCUGGCCCUGGUGCUUCUCCUGUGCGGACUCAAUUCAAAACAAAGCUCAAGAAACAGGGAGUGUCACUGGACAAAACAAAUCCGAAACCCAGACUUGAGCCAACAGCAGAAUUUGGACCUCUGCAAGUCA
rnacentral:lncRNA from 1 species